AGAUGAACAGGGAUCCUGACUCACCUGGCACAGGGCUUGCUUCAUGCAGGGCAGCGUGGAUGCUGCUUUGGUGACACUUCUGCAGCUUCCCACCCACCAAGCUGCUUCUGCUGGAUUGUGAACCCCUUUCUGCUGGUUGGACCUUGAGAAAUCCUGAAAGAGGGCUGCAAGCUGCCUAUGGAGACCACACCUCCUCCUACUCCUUCUCUUGUUCAAGUUGCUUAAAUGCUGCCCAAAACCAACAACACAAAGUCAUCACCAAGGCACUUUUCCAGCACAGCCACUCAGAGAGGA
ensembl:lncRNA